rnacentral:rRNA from 1 species
AUGAGCCCCUCCUCGGCCCCGGGUCCUGAUGGCCUGCCCGUGACGUUCUUUAAAACGUUCUGGCCUACCAUCAAGCCGGAGGUCAUGGCUCUGUUCGAAGAAUUUUAUUCGGGCUCCAUGGACCUUGGGCGCCUCAAUUACGGGAUUGUGACCCUCAUCCCCAAGGUCUCGGGCGCCUCGGACAUCCGCCAGUUCUGCCCAAUCACAGUGAUUAAUGUGAUUUUCCGGAUCUUGGCCAAAGGGUACGCCAAUAGGGUGACCCUCCUCGCUGACACGAUUACCCAUCCGAACCAAUCCGCCUUCAUACAAGGUCGAUUUAUUCUCGAUGGAGUGUUAGUAUUCCAUGAGGUCCUCCACGAGGUCCGUCUAAAACGCCUUCGCGCGGUCUUCCUAAAGCUAGACUUUCACAAAGCCUACGACACGGUACACUGGCCAUUCCUGCGUGAAGUGUUGCUUCGCAAGGGCUUCGACGACCGUUGGGUGACCCGCGUCAUGCAGCUUGUCUCUUGUGGCCGGACCGCGGUGAACAUCAACGGUGACAUUGGGCCCUACUUCCCCACCCUUUGUGGGGUCUGUCAGGGUGACCCCUUUUCACCGUUCUUGUUCAACAUGGUGGUCGAUGCCCUGGCAUCCAUCUUGGAUAAGGCCAAGGCUGCUGGUCAUAUCCGCGGCUUAGUCCCCCACCUAGUCGGAGGGGGAGGGGUCUCCCUCCUUCAAUAUGCGGAUGAUACCAUUAUAAUGGUCGAGGGAUCCGCCCUAGAUAUCACUAACUUGAAGUUCUUCCUCCUGUGCUUCCAACAAAUGUCGGGCCUAACCAUCAACUUUGAUAAGAGCGAAGUGAUGGUCCUCGGGUACCCCUUGGAUGAAACACAGGCUAUUGCUGACCGACUAAACUGUCGGUUGGGUUCUUUCCCCAUGACCUAUCUGGGGAUCCCCAUUAGUGACUCGCGCCUCACCGUGGCUGAUCUUCGCCCCACGGUGACCCGUAUGCAACAUCGCUGUGAGCCCUGGAAAGGGCGCUGGCUAUCGAAGGCUGCUCGCGUGAUCCUUAUCAACUCUUCGCUUGCUAGCCUCCUUUGGUUCCUCAUGAGCUUUUAUAGCCUACAUGAGACCCUGCACCAGGAGAUCGCCAAAUACCAAUCCAGAUUCUUCUGGGCUGGGGAGGGGGGUAAGCAGAAGUACCACAUGGUCAGCUGGUCAGAUGUAUGCAAACCCAAGGACCAGGGCGGUCUUGGGAUUUUGUCCUCCCGGCGCAUGAACAUUGCCCUCCUGACUCGUUGGCUCUGGCGCAUUGCCAAUGGAGAUGAGGUCUCUGGCUUACUAUCAUCCAGAACAAGUACCUACGUGGGCAGCCUCUCGCAUUUUGUCAGCGCUCAGGCGGCUCCCAGUUUUGGCAGGCCGUCGUCCAGCUGCUGCCUGUUCUGCGCAUUAGCACAUCCAUUUCGGUGGGUACUGGGUCCUCGACCCUGUUCUGGCUUGAUAGGUGGCUUGGUGACACCCCCCUAG